rnacentral:rRNA from 1 species
CACCGCGGUUAUACGAAAGGCCCAAGUUGAAAAACAUUCGGCGUAAAGGGUGGCUAAGGACCUAUCACAAACUAGAGCUGAAUUUCUUCAAAGCUGUUAUACGCUCAUGAAAAGCAGAAAGUCAACCACGAAAGUGGCUCUAAUCAUUCCUGACACCACGAAAGCUAUGACA